UACGAAGGGGGCUAGCGUUGUUCGGAAUCACUGGGCGUAAAGCGCACGCAGGCGGAUCGUUAAGUCAGGGGUGAAAUCCCGAGGCUCAACCUCGGAACUGCCUUUGAUACUGGCGAUCUUUGAGUCCGGGAGAGGUGAGUGGAACUCCGAGUGUAGAGGUGAAAUGCGUAGAGAUCGGAAAGAACACCAACGGCGAAAGCACUCUGCUGGGCCGACACUGACACUGAGAGACGAAAGCUAGGGGAGCGAAUGGG
rnacentral:rRNA from 1 species